GAUGAACGCUGGCGGCGUGCCUAAUACAUGCAAGUCGAGCGAAUGGAUUGAGAGCUUGCUCUUAUGAAGUUAGCGGCGGACGGGUGAGUAACACGUGGGUAACCUGCCCAUAAGACUGGGAUAACUCCGGGAAACCGGGGCUAAUACCGGAUAACAUUUUGAACCGCAUGGUUCGAAAUUGAAAGGCGGCUUCGGCUGUCACUUCUGGAUGGACCCGCGGCGCAUUAGCUAGGUGGUGAGGUUACGGCUCACCAAGGCAACGAUGCGUAGCCGACCUGAGAGGGUGAUCGGCCACACUGGGACUUAGACACGGCCCAGAAUCCUACGGGAGGCAGCAGUAGGGAAUCUUCCGCAAUGGACGAAAGUCUGACGGAGCAACGCCGCGUGAGUGAUGAAGGCUUUCGGGUCGUAAAACUCUGUUGUUAGGGAAGAACAAGUGCUAGUUGAAUAAGCUGGCACCUUGACGGUACCUAACCAGAAAGCCACGGCUAACUACGUGCCAGCAGCCGCGGUAA
rnacentral:rRNA from 1 species